AGGACGAACGCUGGCGGCGCGCCUAACACAUGCAAGUCGAGCGAGAACCGGGGCUUCGGUCCCGGGGACAGCGGCGAACGGGUGCGUAACACGUGAGCAACCUGCCCCGAAGACCGGGACAACCCGAGGAAACUCGGACUAAAUACCGGAUGUCCUCACCGGAUCGCAUGGUCUGGUGAGGAAAUGGAUUCCGCUUCGGGAUGGGCUCGCGGUCUAUCAGCUUGUUGGUGGGGUAACGGCCUACCAAGGCGACGACGGAUAGCUGGUCUGAGAGGACGAUCAGCCACACUGGGACUGAGACACGGCCCAGACUCCUACGGGAGGCAGCAGUGGGGAAUAUUGGACAAUGGGCGCAAGCCUGAUCCAGCCAUGCCGCGUGGAUGAUGAAGGCCUUAGGGUUGUAAAGUCCUUUUAACGGGGAAGAUAAUGACGGUACCCGUAGAAUAAGCCCGGCUAACUUCGUGCCAGCAGCCGC
rnacentral:rRNA from 1 species